rnacentral:lncRNA from 1 species
CAGGAGGACAGCCUGGAGGCAACCCCGGAACCGCAGCCUGGCUCUGUCAGAGCUUUGUAAAGACGCAGCCUCCAGCGAGCGAUCCGCUGCUCCGCUCGUUCCGCAACGUCGGUUCCUCGUUUGGGAGGAAUGUGUGUUGUCUUCACGGAGUCUCGGAUGAUUAGCACCUCCUUCGAUGGAGUUUGUUCUAGGCGCUGAGCCAUACAUUCUGCGUAGUACAUGUCGGGACUCACGUUACAUACAAGUACGCGUGGACAAGAUCUUUACGUCGUGAGGUCAUUGUCCUACUUGAUGGUCUCAGUGACAGCAAGGUCAGGUUGCCCAAUGUUUGUCUAAGGACUUUUUAUACAUUUUUUUAAAUGUUUAUUUUUUGAGCGAGAGAGAGAGACAGCACAAGUGGGGGAGGGGCAGAGAGAGGGAGACACAGAAUCCGAAGCAGGCUCCAGGCUCCGAGCUGUCAGCCCAGAGUCCGACCCCCGGGCUUGAACUCACUAACCAGGAGAUCAUGAGCUGAGCUGAAGUCAGGAGCUUCACCGACCGCACCACCCAGGCGCCCCAGGACACAGAGCUUCUGGCUUUAGAUUGUGUGACCACUGUGGCCCCACCGGGCAGGCACCCCUCCCCACCUCCUCGUUGGUCCAGUCAGCUGAGCUGCAGGCUGGAGGGCACCCCGGAAGCAGGGUCUGUGUGGUGGGGGGCACAAGGUGGGUAGAAACUGCACCUGGGCUGCAGUAGGUCCCCCACGGGAAAGUCUCCAGCAACAAACCUGGUGUUUUUCACCAUCGGAGAGAUUCUCUUUUUCUCAUGGAAAAAUCCAGGCGAACAGAGGUUAUCCACACCACGGGUCAAGCGGUGAGGUCAUUAUUGCUUUAGCUCUGGGGGGGGGGUGUCUCUGACAUGAGGUUGGGAUGGAACCACACCGUCACUCGGCAUAGACUUCUAGGUCCUGGAUGGAGAGUGAGAGGGAGGCCCCAGCCCUGGGCGUGGGGCCCAGAGCCCUGCACAGGUGGUGUGGUUCACCUGUCCCGUUACCAGGAAGUUUACGGACUAUGGCCGUGGGACAUCAGUGUGACCGCAGGUAUAAUGAAGGAGGCUACGGAAAGCAGAGCGUCCCCUCCAACCAACCGACACUGCAUGGGCGAUCGUGCGUUUUUCUGCACAGAAUUCCAUUUACUUACACAUCACGGACAUUCUCUGGCCCUACAGUGGGCAUCAGCUUCAGCUUCCUGUACUAACUACCCCCAAAUGAUCCAGGAAAGCAGGAAGUCCUCACUUCUAAGAAGCUGGAAGUUAACAGUCCCCAGGUGAGGACUCCAGGAUAGGAGCUGGUUUCUUAGCCGUCCCCACACCUGGGAGCACAGGGAAGGGAAGGAACCCCAGUCCUUGGGGAGCACAGAGAAAGGAGAGGACCUCAGUGGUCCUCGGGGAGCACAGAGAAAGGAAGGAACCCGGGUCCCCCGAGCACAGAGAAGGGAAGGAGAAGUAGCUUCAAAGGGCCUUUUGAGGAAGAGGAGCGGGGAGAGGGACACGAUGCAGGCCUCUGGGGUGACCAGGCAGAAGACACUUACCAAUGUCCUGUGAAAGCCAUGGGGGAUGUCCUGGGGGUCUAAGGAGAGCGUGGGCCCUGGAGGCAGGACGCAGCCCACACUGCGGUCCCCCACCACGCUCCUGGUUCACUGGCCUCCUGACUGAGCGGGACAGAAAAGCCCUUUACGCCCCUGGGAUCCCUCUCUCCGCACCCCGGGGUGAGCCGGCCUGGUAGGGGGGGGCCCAGUGGCCUCCAGAGAGAGCCUCAGGGAAGCUGAAUGGACGCGGGGCCUGUGGACGGCAGAUGGGGUCCGGGACCCGGGGUGGGGAGUUCUGUCCUAGUUUGUGCCGGGUCCACAGAGACCAGAGGCCAGGCCUCAGGUCACCAUGGACACAGUGCCUCCCCCACACACCAGUGCACACCCUGCACAUCCUUCCUGUCUGGCAC